rnacentral:rRNA from 1 species
GAGUUUGAUCCUGGCUCAGGAUGAACGCUAGCGGGAGGCUUAACACAUGCAAGUCGAGGGGUAUAAUUAGCAAUAGUUAGAGACCGGCGCACGGGUGAGUAACGCGUAUGCAACCUGCCCUUUACCGGGGGAUAGCCCGUAGAAAUGCGGAUUAAUACCCCAUAGGUCUGUCAGAUCGCAUGGUUUGACAGAUAAAGCUGAGGUGGUAAAGGAUGGGCAUGCGUGACAUUAGCUUGUUGGUGAGGUAACGGCUCACCAAGGCUGCGAUGUCUAGGGGUUCUGAGAGGAAGAUCCCCCACACUGGUACUGAGACACGGACCAGACUCCUACGGGAGGCAGCAGUGAGGAAUAUUGGGCAAUGGGCGCAAGCCUGACCCAGCCAUGCCGCGUGCAGGAUGACGGCGCUAUGCGUUGUAAACUGCUUUUGUACAGGAAGAAACCCAUUUACGUGUAAGUGGUUGACGGUACUGUCAGAAUAAGCAUCGGCUAACUCCGUGCCAGCAGCCGCGGUAAUACGGAGGAUGCAAGCGUUAUCCGGAUUCAUUGGGUUUAAAGGGCGCGUAGGCGGAGUACUAAGUCAGUGAUGAA